rnacentral:rRNA from 1 species
AGCGAACGCUGGCGGCAGGCUUAACACAUGCAAGUCGAACGGGCGUAGCAAUACGUCAGUGGCAGACGGGUGAGUAACGCGUGGGAACAUACCUCUUGGUUCGGAACAACACAGGGAAACUUGUGCUAAUACCGGAUAAGCCCUUACGGGGAAAGAUUUAUCGCCGAGAGAUUGGCCCGCGUCUGAUUAGCUAGUUGGUGGGGUAAAGGCCUACCAAGGCGACGAUCAGUAGCUGGUCUGAGAGGAUGAUCAGCCACAUUGGGACUGAGACACGGCCCAAACUCCUACGGGAGGCAGCAGUGGGGAAUAUUGGACAAUGGGCGCAAGCCUGAUCCAGCCAUGCCGCGUGAGUGAUGAAGGCCCUAGGGUUGUAAAGCUCUUUUGUACGGGAAGAUAAUGACGGUA